GGUUAAAUGUUUUAAUGAUAUUCUUAUAUCUUACUUCUAUGAAAAAUGACAAUAACAAACUGUCAACCAUCUGAAAAGUCCAUAAAACGAAAUGAAAAUUCAAAGAAGAGCAACACGGACCUCUAAAAAGAUAAAGGAAUGAGAGUACCAGUGCACUGGUUGUUGACAUCACAGAAGUGUUAAAAGAUCGAGCCGAGCAGAAAAGAUAGUAUGAACCCUGUCCAUGAGAUCGCAGAUUUAAGUUGUCUGAACAGAGCUGUACAAUAAUUUUAAGAGACAAAAGUAUUAUAGCAGUAAUCAAACUAGAUGAAAACUGCACAAGUUAACUUGCACAAAUUUGUGGUUUAAAUGAAUAACUCAAACAAACUGAAAAAGUUGAUGCACAAAACGAUCGUGAAAAACGAGUUUAUGGAUCCUUUCUUUAUACUUUGAUCAAUCAAAAUGAAUACAAUAAUGAAAGUGAAUGG